GCCUGGUUCCGCUCGUACAGCGCCCGCAUCUCCUCCAGCGCCUGCCGCAGCUCCUCCGCCUGCAGCACGGGAGGCACUCGGGUGCUACACACUGUUGUCUCUCUGAUGACCCCUCCCUGUGCCACCCCAUCCCAUCCUGCUUCAUCUCCAGCAUCCUCCAAACCCGAAGCCUGCCAGAACUGCAGGGUGUGGGAGGGAAGAAAAGAUGCGAGGCCCGUUUCCAGAUGGGGCAGGGAACCUUUUAGUUCCCAACACCCAGGAAAUGGAAAUAAAAACCCGGCAGCCCAUCCGAGCUAGAAGUGAUAAGGGCAUCAAAUGUCUGUCCCUAAUUCCAGCUGCAGCUGCUGCAAAUCGGCUGCUGGGGUUUGCUGGGGGGUGGAAACGUAACCGAGCCCGAGUGAGUGUCGGGCUCUGCCUCACCUCACUGCUCUGCCAGAUUAAACAGGCCUCGUACAUAAAAAUAGACAAAAUGAAUGAGGAAUUUACAAACAUCUAUAUUUUGUGUUAGGAAAUGUGAUAAAAUUAGGAAAACAGCUGAGGACACUGAUUUAUACAACUCUGACUAUUUCAGGCAAUGAGAGGUUUACAUAGCACAGUUUAACAAGAUAAAAGGUCUCCCACGAAGUACACGGAUGACAGACAGCUCAUCUGGAUUCGACACAACACAGCAUCAAGUACACACGUAAUGUGAUGAACAGUGCCAGGUCAUUCCCCAGUUAGGUAACAUACAACCUCUUGAAUAAGGCGAUUCAAAUGUAACUCGUAAGUCAAAUCACAACAUACCCAGGCAGCAUGCAGGGAAAAGUCAUUUAUUUUGUACAUUGGAAUGACACACCUUGCAACAGGUUCCCAUUUUAUGCAGUUAGAGCAACAGGAUAUAAACCAUUCAAAUAAUAUAUAUAUGUCAACAGUUGUCUUUACUGGAAUAAAGAUUAUCUGGUUUCUUUUUUUUUUUUCCUUUUUUUUUUUUUUUGGUAAAAAUAAAACUAUUUGAAUUCACUAAUUAACAAAAUGCACAGUGAUCAGAAACCCAAUUCUUCUCAUGGUUGCCAUCCCUGCCUCGCUCGCCUGUCUCUGCGAUGCCGUGGCUGCAUAACUCUGGCUUCAGGGGAGCGCUUUGCACGCAGGAGCCAAAAACUCGUGGCUCCCACAGCUGCGGACUGUGCCCGGGGCUUUAUCCCGCGCCUUGGCUCCUGCAACAUCCCUGCCUUCCGGCGCCCACAGCCUGCAUCCCGUUUCCUUAUUACCAAUCGAUUCCUCUGGCUCUUUACCACCAAGAAAUAUAAGAAACCAUGGAUCUGCUCAGAAGCAAAAAAAAAAAAAAAAAAAAAAAAAAAAAAAAAAACCCCACACCCAAAUGACCAAACAACAGAAACCUGAGCCCAUAGUCUCUCUGAUGUGGUGGAGCCUAAAAGAUGCGGCCGAGGAGGGAUUUCCAGUGCAACAGGUGUAGGGAUCACUAAAGACAAUGCCUUUUUUUUUUUUUUCUCCCAGUGUUAAAAAUUUCUUUCAAGAGGAAACUAUGAAGAAGGGAAAUAAGACUUUUCCCUACACAAAAACAAUAAUCGAAAUAAAAAAUCUGUAAUUUCUGAACAGACCUGUCUGGGCAGCUUCUCCCUGGUAAAGACCAUCUGCCCGUGUCCUGCAGUGGCUGGGGCUCCCCUGGGAAUCCCCUCCUGGGAUUUUGGGGUUGAUUUCGGGAUUCUCAGGGAAUGGCUUUUAGGGGGCCCUGAUCUCGCUCUCCUCCGCUGGGUCCUGUUCUUCACCUGACCGCUAAAAAGUGAUCCUGCGCCUCCCUGCUACUCCAUUUACUGCUCCGGUUAAAAUAAAAUAAUUAAAAAAAAUCAUUGGCAUCUUUCAUUGCCCUUAAAUAUACAAAAAAAAGCAAAUCUUCAAAAGAGAGCAGGGAGAAAGGUGCUUUCACAAUGACAUUCAGAGCAAAAAGAGAGAAACGACAUUUUACAAGUCAUUAGAGAGCUAUCUUUGGCAGAAUAUUUCAAAUAAAUUAUUAUUACAAACAUUUUCUGCAGUCGUAUAGUUACUUGGAACAUUUCACUUUCAGCUACGGGGUUACUCGUUCACUACUCUCUAUCAAUAGGAAAACACCACGAAUAUAUAAAAAUAGAUGAGCUUAGCAUGACUUUUUGGGCUACCAUGGCCGCCUCCGAUGGUCUCGAAGGCAGCAGGGAGUGGGUUUUUGGAGCUCACGCCUCCGGGUAGCCGAGCACUGGUUGUGAACGGGGAUGGCAGUGGUGCUGAAGGCCCCAGUUUGGGCCCUGCCCCGGUUUUGAUGCCGGGUCCCAGUCCCCAUGUCCCCGCUCACCCCCUGGGAUGCCGGGUGGCCCGGUCCCAACCUUCCCCCCCAACCCCUUCUCCAUGAACAUUUAGGUUUAAAUACUUUGCUUUUUUGUUUAUACAGCAUGUACAGAAUAUACAGCACCGGGUGAUUAUUUCCCAGUCGACUACGAGCGUCUCCCAAGAUGGCCUCUUUUAUCAACAAAUAUAUAUAAAUCGACAGUCAUAAAAGAGUCGUACCAACAAAUAGUAUGGCUUUUCAAAGAGUGUAGCUGCAUUGUGCCGUUGAGCUGACAAGGAAGAGGAAGAGAGAUGGUGGGGAGGGAGGCUGGAAGCGCGAGCUGGCGGGGGGGAGCCGUCGGCCCCCAGGGACAGCAGGGAGCUCCGGGGGUGCUGGGCGGCUGUCACAGGAGAGCAGGAAAGCGCCCACCUCACAGGGUGCAUCAGCCCUUCCCCUGGCUUUUUAGGGCCACAAAGUCUCUCUGAGCUUUAUCUCCUGCCCUGAUGGGAGGCCCGAGCCCGCCUCGCUGGUGGAACGGAGAGCGGGACGGAGAAGCUGCUGGCUUGGCUGGGCCUUGGCCAAGAGGGCUGCACCUCUGUGUCCUCUGCAGGCUCGUGGCAAGAGGCUGUUUUCUGCUCCAAAAAGAGGAGACAUUGCUUUGCUUUCCCCGUGCUUCAAGUGUGCGGAAUGGCUUUUGAGAGCUGGAGUGGUCGCUCGAGCAUCGAGAUAACCGGGCCACUCCAUUACGGGGGAAAAUCACUCCUAAAUUCCUCCUACAGCUGCUUUUUGCCUAGUUCCUGUCUCGUUUUCCACUUUGUCAGAACAUUACGGUCAUUCCUUCCAGGCCUCUCCGGCUGAAAUCAGGGCUGGUGCUCACACGGGGAGCCCAGGCCUCACCCUUGGCUCUGCCUGCAGGGAUCGCUGUCUGGAGACAGCAAAACUCCGUACCCUCUUCUUGCUUGGCUAAGAGCAGUAUUUGGGCCUGGUGAGCACCAGGGACCUCUCCAGGCAACCCAUGGGCCGUGGGAGGUAUGAAGGUGCCCAUGGGGAAGUCCUGGUUUUGACAGCACACCUCAUGCCACAUCUCUUUGGCACAAAGACCCGGGAAGCAGAGGGCUGUGUCCUACCAAACCUGGUAUUUUGUGGCUUUCACCUCCACGUAGCAGCACGCUAGAGCUAGGACACUUAGGAGAAUUCAGCAACUUCUCCCAUCCAUCCACAAACAAAACUGUUUUGCCAGAUUGCUGAGCCACGUCCUCAACAGACAGUCAUGAAAGCUGGGUUAUCUGUAGAGCUGAGCCUCCUGCUUAACAACUGAGGUCUUAAUGCAUUGUGGAAAAAAAUAAAAUAAAAACAGAAGAGCUGAACAAGCCUUGUCAGAAGCAGAGUUGUCAUCAGGGAAAAAAUACAGAGUUUUCUUUCUCGCUAACGCAGCGGCUAUCAUGUCAAAGCGUUAUCAUAGCCUUUUGCUCUCUGGAGCUGCUGGAAGCUGUGCCUGCUUCCCGAUGAAGAGCAGGAUGAGCAGUGCUCCCGCCCGGCUCGCUCUGCGAGCACGUUUGCUCACGAGCUGGGCAGACAAGGGGAGCCACAUGGAGCCAACAAAUGAAGGCACAACAGGUGCCCGUUCAUCUCCUUCUGCUUGGGGGGAGUCCAGCCACGGGGCGUCUAAUUGCGGCUCUCUUUGCUCAGCGAGACCAAGCCAACGCACAGGGCUAGAGCUGAAGGCAAGGAGCAAUCCAGUCGCACACCUCCCUGGAUCCUUAGGAGUCACAAAGCCACCAGUUUCCAAAGGCUUUCGUUAUCACCCCUGAAUAUGACUGAUAGCAGCCGGGGACAUGGGCUCUGAACUAGAAAUAGAGAGGAAAUAAAUCCAGCCUCUACAGAGAGGUCAAGGGGUGCAGGGAGAGAGCCCCGUGGUUGUCAUCUGUGCCCUGCAAGGGUUUGGGAGCUCUUAAGUGUGGUUAAGCAUCCCAAGUCCUUGCAUCUGAAGGUUUCACAGCAAGAAGGACGUUGUCUCCUGCCUGUGCCCUCCUUAGAACAUCCUCAUGCCAUCACUACACAGCUGGGCUGGGUCUUAAUCAAACUCUGCCCACUUUAAUGGGGUAAAUAUUUUUUUAGAGCACUGAGAACAGGCACUGUUUUGAGGUAAAGGAGUUGAGAUGGGUCUCGAACCCCGCGUUAAAGCAGUUAGUUUGCUCUGAAGUGUAGAGCCAGGCUUGGGUUUGGGGGAACUAGAACGUCCGCGGGCCUUGAUAACGGUGGAAAUUCAGCAGAAAUGUUUAAUCUUCCAGACUUUGUGAACGAGGCAGAGCAGGGCAAUAAGAAUGAGCAGGAAGGGCUCAGCAUGCCCAUCCUCUCUCCUCCUUGACCUGGGAACUUGCAGGUUCCUUUGCUUGCAUGGCCUCGACUCCGAGGUGCUGGGGUUGUGGUGCUGAUACUGCUUCCCACCACCAGCUGCACCAAGACAUGCACCCAUAGCCACAGCAGUCGAGGUGGGGACGCGUGCCGUGGCAGCACCUAAAAUGGGGUUUCCAGUUCUGGGUGAGACCCCCUGGUGCUCCCCCUGUCCCCAUGCUCCCCGAUGCUGGACAUCCCACCGGCAGCGCCUGCCUUGGCAGCUUUCCUGUCCCUCCGCAUGAGGGCUGUCGCUGGCUGGCGAGAGGCUCUCGGCACCUCGGCUUCCAAAAGGAGGGAGGCUCAAGUCCUUAAAAGGUGAGGAAUCCGGCUGUAUUUAUUGUCCCCCGGGGCAUUUUGCAAGAAUACAGAUGCCUCUGGAUGCUUUCCUGCGCAAGUCAAGUUUGUACAAGAUAAACAGGCUUUCCUGCAGCUGUGCGUGUGCGUGUGGUCGGUCAUCGGGAGAGGCCAGAGGGGUUCCUGGUGCUCUGCAAACACUUCCCCGGAUGGCGCGGGUGCCAAAGCCUAUGGAAAAACAAUGCAAAGGCUUCUCCUGGAGUAACACCCUCUGGCAUGAACUUUUCCCUCUUCUCUCUGCUCCUGGCACACCGACACUUUCUGGCUGUUCCCCCUUGGUAAGGCAGCUCCUCCCUAGGUAUGGAUAUGGUCCCCAACACCACUGCGCACAGUUCUUACCCGAGCACUUAAAAAUAACCCUAACAAUAACACACAGCCUCUGCUCCUCUCCUCCCCGCCCACGGCAGAAAUAGCACGGCAAGUUUACAGACCGCAUCCAGACUUCUGACAUAUCUGAGGCACGUGGCUACCAGAAAGGGUACAAAGCCCGCCUCUGCCCUCUUGUCCUUGAAGGAAGUGAUGAAAACGGGGAGAAAAACCCACAAAUGCUGGCACCAGGGACCUCCAGAGUCCGUGCGUCUCGAGGAGGAGUGCAGUUUACGGGCAAACGGGUGUCACUCUUUGCAUAAGCUCAUUGCAGAUGCCAAAAGCAUGGGGUUGGCGGAGAAUAAUUGCACAAACAAGGCUGGUGUUAACCGUGUGAUUUAGGCCUUGUCCUAAGCAAGCAGUACUCCAUCAUUCCCGCUGGAAAGCUCUCUGAGCAGAACGCUUAUUUACUGCCGGUUAAACCACGCCGCUACACGCGUCCCGUUUGACUUGUUAAUGACUUCGGUGACUGUGAUUCAUCCUGGAGAAGCAAAAGGAUGAUGAGAGUGAAAUACCAGCAUCACCUUUCGGAAGAUGUAAUUACUGGAUCAGGAGAACUGCUUCGCUCUCACAAUUCACUGCCUGGGAGGAGCACACGGGCGUGACCGACUGCUCUUGGCUGGGGCUUGACAAAGGCUGACGGCUGAGCUGCACUCAUCCUGGAGGAUGCUGAGUGCUGGCAGGGAGAGGAGGGUCAGUGGCUCAGAUGGCAAAAAGCAGCCUUAUUUAUUUUUGGGGAAAAGGCCAGGCUCGUGCUGCCCAGUGAUUGCAUGAAAUCCUCCGGCUGUGGGGGAACAUCAUUUACCUGCUUUGGAGCUCCAAAGCCAGGCGCUGCUGCUGCUGCCGGCCUCACCGUCUGUGCAGCCCCAUCCUGAGCCUGCCGGCGCCCCAGGAGCUGCGGACCUAAGCCUGGUCCCCUGCAACGGGACACAUUUUAAAGGUGCGGAGGGGACCUGGGCUCUUUGCAGCUCUGAGCGUCCCUCUGUGGAGCCCUCCGCAUGUGUGUGCUGCCUGGAGGGGCCCUGCCAGCUGAACCACGAGGCUGGAUGAACAGCAAACAGGAGCAGUUCUGUGCAACUGGGGAGCACGUGCAAAAAGGGCUGCUAAGUUCCUCGCAGGCAGCUGCAUGACUCUCCCUGAGUCUGGGGCAAACCAGCACUGACGGGGCGCUCAGCACAGGAGCAGCAUCUGGCCCCCAAAGGGCUUCACUUGCAAGUUUUGUCCUUGGGCGGUUUCCUGCGUCCCUCUGAGAGCCGCCGCUGCACCCCAGCACGCUGAGCUCGACGGCGAUGGAGCAAGAGGAAAGCUGUGAGGUGGGGCAGGAAGGUGUGUGUGGAGGCCCCGACACCCCCAUCAGCAGCAGAAACACAACGAAGGCAAAGCGAUGAAUAAAUAAGAAAUGGGUGCAACGUAAAGGGAGACAAGGAGUGGGAAGGGGAGGGUUUUCCAUAGAGAAUAUGCAGGAGCACUACUGGAUCCAUGAGGAAUCAUUACAAACUUUAUUUGUCUGUGCAUCGUGUACCAUUGAUAAGGAUCAUCACAAUUAGUGGACUCACUGCCUAUAGUGGUGGGCAAUACACACAAAGAAAAAUCAAUGAAGCCAAACAAA